GACGAGAUGUGCAAGCGUUGUUCGGAAUUACUGGGCAUAAAGGGUGCGCAGGCGGUUUGGUAAGUCAGAUGUGAAAUCCCUCGGCUCAACCGGGGAAUUGCAUUUGAUACUGCCAGACUUGAGAGUGAAAGAGGCAAGCGGAAUUCCAGGUGUAGCGGUGGAAUGCGUAGAUAUCUGGGAGAACGCCAAAGGCGAAGGCAGCUUGCUGGGUCACUUCUGACGCUCAUGCACGAAAGCUAGGGGAGCGAACAGG
rnacentral:rRNA from 1 species